AGUCGGGCAUCCUGCUAUAUCCCGGGAAAAUUUCCGAGGGCAAGCUACCCUCGCGCGAGGGCGGCAUCCCUAAAGCCAACCUUGGAUCGGCCGGAGAAGAGCCGGGAAGGCUGGUCCCAGAGGAGGAAGGCCGGCGUCCCAGAGGGGUUCCAGUUGGACAUGACCUCGCCACACGGAGCAGCUGGAGAAGUGGCACCUCAAGGGCUCCCCGACUAUUUUUAUGCGGCCAUCUGCCUUCUCGACCAGGCCUGGCAGGCAGCAACAGGCCUGAGGAAUGCCACGGCAGUGUGAAGGAUGUUUCCUUCCCAGCACUUACGAUGCCUGCUGCCUGCCAAACCCCAUUCCAGGUCCAUGUUCCCCAUCUGUUGCAACAGCUUCCCCAGGCUCCUGGGGUCUGGGAAGAGGUGGAGCGAGGCGCCCGGAGCCCUGGGCUGGCACUGAUGGGACUUGGAGAAACGCACUUAAACGCUGGAUUCUAGGCUUCCUCAGCUGCAGGGAAAUGUUCAUAUGAUCUCCGUGCAUGACUUGGUGGCUGCUAGCUAAAUGAUGCCAUCGUCUGAGCCGUGGUCUGACAGAGGGAAUGACAUCGGUAGACAUUGGGUGACUUGUAUGGAGAACUCUUCACAUCAACGGUAUUGCUGUUGGUACUCAUGAGUUCUACUAAACCAGCAGUAAUUCCAUUCAAAGGACUUCUAGACUUCUCUAACACUGCCUAAGAUUUUAUACAGUAUCUCUGUCUUCCACCAAGCUGUGGAAACACUUUAUUAGAAUGCCAUUAUUUAGUAAGUGGCUUCAUCUUGUUGAUUUUUAUUCAUUUUCAAGCCAUGGAACAUAAUUCAAUAACUUGAAAUACUGUAAAAUAUUGUUCUUUUUUUCACUUUUGUCAUCAAACCACAAGCGCAUUGUGAUGUCAUUGGUUGGACAUUAUCAAUGGGAAGAAGUCGUUUUCUCCUGGAGUUGAUGCUUCAUUGUGUGUAUCUACAAAUGGUGUUUCCUGUACCUCCAUUUCAACAGUGUCUUCUCCUUCAAGCUCGGUUUAUUUUAAAUAUUUGAUCACUUUUGUAACUUAUGGAAUUAAUCUGUCAUUUUAAUAACUGAAAAUGUUCUUUCUGACACAAUCAAAGGAAGUAUUGGUGCUUCUCCAAGACUAUAAUUUAUAAUUUCCAAAUCUCUUUUUUAGAUGUUUUUUAAUGUUUUUCUUUUCCAGAAUUUUAAGGACUUCCAUUCCAGUUUUGUAUUACAGUGAAUAUACAAAGUGUGAUGGUUCUCACACUGCUUUUCUAGCUCAAGCCCCACAGAUUGCCCAUCGAGGCCCGACCAGUCUUCUUCAGUUCCCAGCUUGUCUAAGACACAUUAGACAUUUUGGAACAAACAGGACCAUUAACCAAAAUUGUUGUAUCCCCAUAUCAUGAAAACCAAGUCAAGAAAACACUUCAUUGAAAAACCAUAAUCCAUAUAAAUGUUUUCGUGAAGUUCUUUUUUUUUUUUUAAAGAUUUUAUUUAUUUAUUCGACAGAGAUAGAGACAGCCAGCGAGAGAGGGAACACAAGGCAGGGGGAGUGGGAGAGGAAGAAGCAGGCUCCCAGCGGAGGAGCCUGAUGUGGGGCUCGAUCCCAGAACGCCGGGAUCACGCCCUGAGCCGAAGGCAGACGCUUAACCGCUGUGCCACCCAGCGGUUCAGAAGUUCUGUCUGAAAAUGUUUGAUUUCUUUUUUUAAAAAGAUUUUAUUUAUUUAUUUGAGAGCUAAUGAGUGGGGCGGGAAGGAGCAGAGAAAGAGGGAGAAGCAGGCUCCCUACUGAGCAGGGAGCUGGAGACCAGGGCUGGCUUGGUUCCAGGACUCUGGGAUCAUGACCUGAGCUGUAGGCAGAUGCUUAACCGACUGAGCCACCCAGGCACCUGGAAAGUGCUUGGUUUUUAAACACUCUUUAUUAUGGAAAAUAUUAAACAUAAAGAGAAAAUAGCAUAAUGAGCCCCUCUGGACCCAUCAACAAUGGUCAAUUCAUGAGAACUUUUGUUGCAGCUAUAGUCUCAUUUACUUCCUGCCCCAUUCCAAAAUAUCUUGAAGCGUAUCCCAAAUAUCAUUUACUUUGUAUGUAUUUCAGUUUGUAGCUCUAAAACGUAGGGAGUUCUUUUGGGAACGUAACCAUUACCAUACCUAAAAAUAUUAAUUUUUGAAACUGUUUGUUAUUUUAACCAUACCACAGACAACCCUAAGAACUUUGAUGUCCUCUAAAUGCUUUUCUUUUGCUCUAUCAAUUGGCUUUGAUUACAUUUUUUAAAGUUUUCAUUAUUAUAAGUGACUUGUAGUGUGAAUGGUUUUCCUUAUCGACAAUUAUACAUUUUCUUUUAAUUCUGAACUUUGAUAUAAUAUGAUUGCCAUUCUGAUGAGAUAUAUGUGUUUUUAGUAUUUUCAACUUGAAUGAAUCAAAACAUAUGUCACUAUCAGUAAUAAGCCACUUUUUGUUGUUGAUUAUUUUUCAUCGCAAAAAUAAAAUUUAAGGGA